rnacentral:rRNA from 1 species
AGCGAACGCUGGCGGCAGGCCUAACACAUGCAAGUCGAACGAGACCUUCGGGUCUAGUGGCGGACGGGUGAGUAACACGUGGGAACGUGCCUUUAGGUUCGGAAUAACUCAGGGAAACUUGUGCUAAUACCGAAUGUGCCCUUCGGGGGAAAGAUUUAUCGCCUUUAGAGCGGCCCGCGUCUGAUUAGCUAGUUGGUGAGGUAAUGGCUCACCAAGGCUACGAUCAGUAGCUGGUCUGAGAGGAUGAUCAGCCACAUUGGGACUGAGACACGGCCCAAACUCCUACGGGAGGCAGCAGUGGGGAAUCUUGCGCAAUGGGCGAAAGCCUGACGCAGCCAUGCCGCGUGUAUGAUGAAGGUCUUAGGAUUGUAAAAUACUUUCACCGGUGAAGAUAAUGACUGUAGCCGGAGAAGAAGCCCCGGCUAACUUCGUGCCAGCAGCCGCGGUAAUAC